rnacentral:rRNA from 1 species
UUGACAUCCCGGAGACCCUUAGGAAACUAGGGGGUGCUUCCAUCUGGAAGAAUCUGGAGACAGGUGCUGCAUGGCUGUCGUCAGCUCGUGUCGUGAGAUGUUCGGGUUAAGUCCCGCAACGAGCGCAACCCUUGCCUUUAGUUGCCAGCAGUUCGGCUGGGCACUCUAAAGGGGCUGCCGGUGUUAAACCGGAGGAAGGUGGGGAUGACGUCAAGUCCUCAUGGCCUUUAUGACCAGGGCUACACACGUACUACAAUGGCCGAUACAAAGGGCAGCGACACUGCGAGGUGAAGCCAAUCCCGUAAAAUCGGUCUCAGUCCGGAUUGGAGUCUGCAACUCGACUCCAUGAAGUUGGAAUCGCUAGUAAUCGUGGAUCAGCAUGCCACGGUGAAUACGUUCCCGGGCCUU